GUUAAAUAAACAAGUCGUAUGC
rnacentral:miRNA from 1 species